rnacentral:lncRNA from 1 species
CUAAUUUCAGGCACUGAAAGUGAGAGUUGGAUGAAAACAAACCAAUCGAUCACCAGAUUCUUCGCUGAAUCGAUGAGCAAACAUGAUCGCUGAUUGGCUUGUUUUCCUCCAAUAUCUCACCUUCAGUCGAUCGCCUGGUGACUACGCAUUACGAGAACAGAUAUGCUAGGGAGUUUGCCUAUGUGUGCCAUUUCAAGUGAGGAUUAGAGGGACCUGAACCCUCCAUUGCAAGACAGGAAGCAAGAAGGGUUCAGUUUCCUCUAAUAUCUCAUCUCAAAUGGUCCAUUUCUGGGGAUGGUUUUCAGUAUAUGGCAGAGAUGCGGUCACACAAUGUGAGAACUGGAGGCAAUCAAACUCAGAUCCACUCGGUCAGAUGGAUGGAUAGGCAUAACCUGUCUUUGUUGCCUAGUUUGUUUCCCUCCAAUAUCCUAUCUUGAUUGAAUUGCUUGAUAUUGAGUAGUUUUGCAAGAACCUUUUAUUCAAUACUCAUCAGACAUGCUGCCUUGCUCAAAACUUCCGCUGCGCUUCCUGGUAAAAAGAAUCGCUUCGGCCUGACCUACCCUUUCUGGGACAGAUAAUUUCACUGGAUUUAUUUCUAGAAAAGAUUUGUUUUGAGGACCCUAAGAGGAAUUCCCAUUGCUUCCAUUUCCUACUGUGUUUCCAGCCUAGAAGCAGAGAUUUGUUAAGUUAAGCUAAGUACCCAAAAUAAACUGACUCUGUCCCAUUCGAAAUGUGCUUCUAGGCGUCCUUUCCAGAUUUUGGGUACUUAGCUUAACAAGCAAACAAGCACGUAACUGCUGGGCUUGGUUGUCUUCAUCACAGGCUCAAGUGAAUUCGCAAACAAGCAAGGCUGCUGGGUUGGCUGGGCUAAGGGGUACGGUGCGGUACAUGUACAUUAUUGUGGCGAAACGACGCAUGUUUUCAUUCUACCCUUUUACAACUUCUGAGCAGGCAAAGCUCUAUUCAGAAAUCCAACCAGUGGAUCUUCUCCAUCGAUGUUUUGAGCUCACUCAUCCAUCCUUUCUCCGCCCCCUCCCUCUCUCCAAGCUGGUUUCCUCUUGGAUCUAAUCCCCUCCCUUCUCCCUUUUGAAUGCACUCAAGCAAGGAUACGGGUGCAUGGAGCUCGUAUAGAUGAUGCCCCUUGCAUGAGGAAACUGGAGCCCACUCGAUUUGAUGCCAUUAGGGCCGAAGGUUGCUGGAUUUUGUGACCAUCGAUGACUAUUUCCUCUCGGUGAUGCCCUUGAGUUAAGAGGUUAGAGAUUAUUCUUGGAUCCCCACCGCGGUCGGAGUUUGUUGGAUUGAAGGAUUGAGGCCCUGAGGAGGUUGUGUUGUGGCCAUUGAUCCUCUUAAUUAUAUAUGAUAUCAACUCGGUUAGGGUGUUCCACGUAUUUCUGUUUGUUGUUGCAACCGCUCUCUCUCCAUUUGUUGCAAUCUUC